AUUUUUCUUACCAAUGAUAAUUAACCUACAAAUCUGUAUACGUCUUUGGAAUGUGGGAGGAAACCAGAGCACCUGGAGAAAACCCACGUAGUCACAGGGAGAAUUUAUAAACUGUACGGUCAGCACCCGUAGUCAGGAUCGAACCUGGGUCUCUGACGCUGUAAGGCAGCCACUCUACCACAGCGCCACUGUGCCGCCCUAACCAGUCAGGUGUGUUAUCCCUGGAAUCAAUCUGGUGAACCUUUGUGAUGCUCCCUCUGUAGCAAUGAACAUAAUAUUUGCUUUCUUACCUGUCUGCUGCACUUGUACAAUAUGCUUACUUUCAGAGCCGGUCUUAGGAGGUGCGGGGUCCAAUUGGGAAAUUUUUUCAUUGAAAUAUAAAUAAAUAAUUAUAAACGAGUCACGUGUCGUGAGUAACAUGACAAUUCGGGGGAGAGUUGCUUUCACAGCGGGUGGGGAGGCUAGCCAGGGAUAAAGUUGCGAGGAGGGAAUGAGCGUUGAGAAGGAGUGAGUCGGGUUCAUGCCAGUAACUCUCACUCACUGCUGCGGGCGCCACCGCAUUGUGGCCGCUUCCCAUCAGCUGCCAGCAAUGCGGGAUAGACUUGGCUAUACCUCAGUAUAGCAACAUCGUUCUUGAUGUUGCUGUACUGAGAGAUAACCAAGUCUACCCUUCUUGGCUAACAAUCUAACCUUCGGCCUUCAAGAUGCAGUGUUGCUGAUUUACAGCGCCAGACACCUGGGUUCGAUCCUGACUACGGGUGCAGUCUGUAUGGAGAUUGUACGGAAAACCUGUUGAAGAUAGAACAACUACAUUUGUCACUACCCGUUGAAGAGAGAACAAGUAAUGGCCUCUACUCACCUCGUAGACGUUGAACUGACUUUGACCUCGGGACAACUCUCUGUAACUGGUGGUGAACUCUCCAAUGAAGUCAUGGCUGGGAUCAAAGAGACUACACAUUGAGGGACCUCCUAAAAGCGCUUUCUCCUCCCCAAUGUUGCUCCACUAUCCAAAGUAGCUGGAAGAAUGAAGUGUGCAGGAAGGAACUGCAGAUGCUGGUUUAAACCGAGGAUAGACACAAAAGGCUGAGGAAGGGUCUCGACCCAAAAUGCCACCUGUUCCUUUUCUCCAGAGAUGCUGUCUGACCCGCUGAGUUACUCCAGCCUUUUUGUGUCUAUCGUAGGAAGGAUGAACUGUUGUUUGCAGACGGCAUCAUGAUUGUAUCCUGGGUAAUGGUUUAGGAAGAGGUAGCAGGUCACAGGCACCAAACGGGUGUCCCAAACAGCAUCAUAUUCUUCAAAGAAGCUAAGCUCUACGCUGCUCGACUGAAACUCCUUGUAAACUGUAUCAACCACUUUCUUAAUAAACUGAAAUGCAGAAAGCCUGAUGUGGGCGCCUUGGAUCGAUCAAUGAACACAGGAGUGCUAUGCUGCGCUGACCUUCAAUUUACUAGCAUGAUAUGUGCUGGUUCCAGCAAUCUGCUUGUUAUUAGACAACUGACAAUGCAACUGUGUAACAGCCUGAGUUUAACAACCAGCGAAGGUAGAUCAUAGAGACAUACAGCCCAACUCUGCUAUGCUCACCAAGAUCUCCCACCUAAGCUAAUCUCACAUGCCCAUAUUUGGCCCAUAUCCCUCUAAACCUUUCCUAUCCAUGUAUCUGUCCAAAUGUCUUUUAAAUGGUGUUAUAAUACCCGCCUCAACUACCUCCACUGGCAGCUCGUUCCAUAUACCCACCACCCUAUGAGUGUAAAAGUUGCCCCUUCAUUUCCUAUUAAAUAUUUCCCCUCUCACCUUAAACUUACAUCCUCUGAGCCUUGAGUUCUUUACUCUAGAUAAAGGACUCUGUGCAUUCACCCUAUCUAUUCCCCUCAUGAUUUUAUACACCUCUAUUGGAUCUCCCCUUCGCCUCCUGCUCUCCAGGGUAUUAACUCCUAGCUUGCCCAACCUUUCCCUACAGUUCAGGCCCUUGAGUUCUGGCAACAUCCUCCUAAAUCUUCUCCGCAUUCCUUUCAACUUAAUGACAUCCUUCCUAUAGCAGGGUAACCAAACUGAACACAAUAUUCCAAAUGUGGCAUUACCAGUGACUUGUACAACUGGAACACAAUACCCUGUUGCUUCACUCAUACCCCGACUAAUGAAGCCCAACAUACGAAAAGCCUUCUUCAUCUCACUGGCUUCCAGUGACGCCACCUUCAAGGAACCAUGUACCUGUACGGCAAGAUGCCUCUGCUCUACAACUCUUCCCACGGCCCAACCAUUCACUGUGAAGAGUCUGCCCUGGUUUGACUUCCCAACAUGGAUCAUAAACUUAUUCUUGCCCUACUUGCCCAGCUCACAUGAAGAGAGUGAACAAACACACAUUGUUCACUCAAUGAUGGUGAAUGGUUUCACAAAGAAUUGCUGAGCUGUGGCUGCACAAUCAUUCAAACGGCUGCAAUUCAGGGUAAAAUGCAGUGAAUAUCUCAGAUAGGAUACAUCCAAGGGAUUGAUUUUAUACAAUUAACCAAAUGGAAUUACUGUUGCAAAAAAAAAAAAAAAACAUGUUUGUACAGGUCUGGCAACUGGUGGUCCAGUGAAAAUCAUGAGAAAACAUAUUUGAAAUCCCCCCUGGAAGUCCCCCAGAAUAUGUAGAGCCUAGUGACGCCAGGUGUGGCGCCAGGUGAGGAGGCCGCUCUCGACCUCAUCGGGACUUCCACAGGUGAUGGGCGGGUUGAAUUUUCCCCCUGCAGCCGAGGCUCUGGAACUCCGUCCCUGCCAGAGCUGGCAGAUCCAUUCCCAUAGCCGACUUCCGAGGUUGACUUAGUGGGCCGGUAUCUCGGCCACUUGGUGGCCUAGGCAGACCGUGCUGGUGCCGAUGGUCUACCUGGAGGCCGUGACCUCUGUUGGUCCGGCAAAAUGGAUAAUCUAGAAAGGCUCUGGAACCAAGGGUGCCGGAAAAUCGGUCGUGGACCUGUAUAAUAGAAUUUGCAGAGGGAAAAUCUGCAGUGCUAUAUGCCUCAAUUUCCAAAGUUUGUUCACCAUCUGACAGGGGUUUGACACCGCAGUGAAAUAUGCUCUCAAUAUUGCCAAAAAUCAGUCAGAGCAGAGUUCACUAGAAACAAUCUCCUGGCUCUGCAUCCCCUGUGAUCUGUGAAAUAUUCAUGAUGGCUUCUUUCUAAAUUUGGUUCAAACAUAACGAUGGAACUAGGAGCUGCCAUGCCACGCUGUGUGAAAGGAAGGGGAUUUCUGCUCUCUGAGGACACUGCAGUUCUCUUUACUGUCAAAGUCCAACACCACAGCCACCAUUUCACACAACAAUUUUAAAGGGGCGCUGUGGUGUUAUCUGAAAGGAAGUUAAUAGGGCGUCACGGUGGCGCAGCGAUAGAGUUGCUGCCCUACAGCGCCAGAGAUCCGGGUUCGAUCCUGACAAUGGGCCCUGUCUGUGCGGAGUUUGUACGUUCUCCCUGAAACCGUGUGAGUUUUCUCUGGAUACUCUGGUUUCCUCCCACACUCCAAAGACAUACAGGUUUGUAGGUUAAUUGGCUUCAGUAAAUUGUCCCUAGUGUGUAGCAUAGUGUCAGCGUGUGUGGAACGUUGGUCGGCGUGGACUCAGUGGGCUGUAGGGCCUGUUUCCACGCUGUACCUCUAAUGUCUAAUGUCUAAAGUCUGGCAACAGCGAGAUAUGGCUGUGCUGUGUCCUACUAAAGUGAGCAACGCAUGAUUUUAAAAUAAGCAGGGAAGGAAUCAGUUAGGGCAUUGACUACACUGUCACACAGCAAGGAAUCCAAUCAGGUUUGAUGUUGCCAUAGUAAACCCCUCUCCACGAUAUUGCUUAAUAUAGAAC